UUAAGUUCAGCGGGUAUUCCUACCUGAUCCGAGGUCAACCUUUCAGAAUUUGGGGGGUUUAACGGCGUGGCCUUGCCGCGUUCCAGUGCGAGAUAUUGCUACUACGCAGAGGAGGCUACAGCGAGACCGCCACUAGAUUUCGGGGCCGCCCAUCCACUAGGGACGGGCCGAUCCCCAACACCAAGCUAGGCUUGAGGGUU
rnacentral:misc_RNA from 1 species